rnacentral:rRNA from 1 species
AGAGUUUGAUCCUGGCUCAGGACGAACGCUGGCGGCGUGCUUAACACAUGCAAGUCGAACGCAAGGACGGGAAGAGCUUGCUCUUUUCAGAAUUGAGUGGCAAACGGGUGAGUAACACGUAAACAACCUGCCUUCAGGAUGGGGACAACAGACGGAAACGACUGCUAAUACCGAAUAAGUUCCAAGAGCCGCAUGGCCCAUGGAAGAAAAGGUGGCCUCUACCUGUAAGCUAUCGCCUGAAGAGGGGUUUGCGUCUGAUUAGCUGGUUGGAGGGGUAACGGCCCACCAAGGCGAUGAUCAGUAGCCGGUCUGAGAGGAUGAACGGCCACACUGGAACUGAGACACGGUCCAGACUCCUACGGGAGGCAGCAGUGGGGAAUCUUCCGCAAUGGGCGAAAGCCUGACGGAGCAACGCCGCGUGAGUGAUGACGGCCUUCGGGUUGUAAAACUCUGUGAUCCGGGACGAAAAGGCAGAGUGCGAAGAACAAACUGCAUUGACGGUACCGGAAAAGCAAGCCACGGCUAACUACGUGCCAGCAGCCGCGGUAAUACGUAGGUGGCAAGCGUUGUCCGGAAUUAUUGGGCGUAAAGCGCGCGCAGGCGGCUUCCCAAGUCCCUCUUAAAAGUGCGGGGCUUAACCCCGUGAUGGGAAGGAAACUGGGAAGCUGGAGUAUCGGAGAGGAAAGUGGAAUUCCUAGUGUAGCGGUGAAAUGCGUAGAGAUUAGGAAGAACACCGGUGGCGAAGGCGACUUUCUGGACGAAAACUGACGCUGAGGCGCGAAAGCGUGGGGAGCAAACAGGAUUAGAUACCCUGGUAGUCCACGCCGUAAACGAUG